GGGUUGUGAGGUUAAGCGACUAAGCGUACACGGUGGAUGCCUAGGCAAUCAGAGGCGAUGAAGGACGUGCUAAUCUGCGAAAAGCGUCGGUAAGGUGAUAUGAACCGUUAUAACCGACGAUGUCCGAAUGGGGAAACCCAGUGCAAUUCGUUGCACUAUCGUUUGAUGAAUCCAUAGUCAAACGAAGCGAACCGGGGGAACUGAAACAUCUCAGUACCCCGAGGAAAAGAAAUCAACCGAGAUUCCCCUAGUAGCGGCGAGCGAACGGGGAGCAGCCCAGAGUCUUAAUCAGCAUCAGCAUCAGGAGAACGGUCUGGAAAGGCCGGCAAUAAAGGGUGAUAGCCCCGUAUCCGAAGGUGUUGGUGUUGUGAACUCGACGAGUAGGGCGGGACACGUGUUAUCCUGUCUGAAUAUGGGGGGACCAUCCUCCAAGGCUAAAUACUCCUGAUUGACCGAUAGUGAACCAGUACCGUGAGGGAAAGGCGAAAAGAACCCCGGCGAGGGGAGUGAAAUAGAACCUGAAACCGUGUACGUACAAGCAGUGGGAGCCUUGAUUUAUCAGGGUGACUGCGUACCUUUUGUAUAAUGGGUCAGCGACUUAUAUUCUGUAGCAAGGUUAACCGAAUAGGGGAGCCGUAGGGAAACCGAGUCUUAACUGGGCGAAUGAGUUGCAGGGUAUAGACCCGAAACCCGGUGAUCUAGCCAUGGGCAGGUUGAAGGUUGGGUAACACUAACUGGAGGACCGAACCGACUAAUGUUGAAAAAUUAGCGGAUGACUUGUGGCUGGGGGUGAAAGGCCAAUCAAACCGGGAGAUAGCUGGUUCUCCCCGAAAGCUAUUUAGGUAGCGCCUCGUGAACUCAUCUUCGGGGGUAGAGCACUGUUUCGGCUAGGGGGUCAUCCCGACUUACCAACCCGAUGCAAACUACGAAUACCGAAGAAUGUUAUCACGGGAGACACACGGCGGGUGCUAACGUUCGUCGUGAAGAGGGAAACAACCCAGACCGCCAGCUAAGGUCCCAAAGUCAUGGUUAAGUGGGAAACGAAGUGGGAAGGCUCAGACAGCCAGGAUGUUGGCUUAGAAGCAGCCAUCAUUUAAAGAAAGCGUAAUAGCUCACUGGUCGAGUCGGCCUGCGCGGAAGAUGUAACGGGGCUAAACCAUGCACCGAAGCUGCGGCAGCGACAUGUAAAUGUUGUUGGGUAGGGGAGCGUUCUGUAAGCCUGUGAAGGUGUGCUGCGAGGCAUGCUGGAGGUAUCAGAAGUGCGAAUGCUGACAUAAGUAACGAUAAUGCGGGUGAAAAACCCGCACGCCGGAAGACCAAGGGUUCCUGUCCAACGUUAAUCGGGGCAGGGUGAGUCGACCCCUAAGGCGAGGCAGAAAUGCGUAGUCGAUGGGAAACAGGUUAAUAUUCCUGUACUGGUGAUAAUUGCGAUGGGGGGACGGAGAAGGCUAGGCUGGCCGGGCGACGGUUGUCCCGGUUUAAGGAUGUAGGUGGGUGAAUUAGGCAAAUCCGGUUCGCUAUACACUGAGGUCUGAUGACGAGUCACUACGGUGGCGAAGUAGCUCAUGCCCCGCUUCCAGGAAAAGCCUCUAAGCUCUAGAUUAUCAUUAAUCGUACCCCAAACCGACACAGGUGGUCAGGUAGAGAAUACUCAGGCGCUUGAGAGAACUCGGGUGAAGGAACUAGGCAAAAUGGUGCCGUAACUUCGGGAGAAGGCACGCUGGCAUUAGGUGAAGUGGUUUACCCAUGGAGCUGAAGCCAGUCGCAGAUACCAGCUGGCUGCAACUGUUUAUUAAAAACACAGCACUGUGCAAACACGAAAGUGGACGUAUACGGUGUGACGCCUGCCCGGUGCUGGAAGGUUAAUUGAUGGGGUUAUCCGUAAGGAGAAGCUCUUGAUCGAAGCCCCAGUAAACGGCGGCCGUAACUAUAACGGUCCUAAGGUAGCGAAAUUCCUUGUCGGGUAAGUUCCGACCUGCACGAAUGGCGUAAUGAUGGCCAGGCUGUCUCCACCCGAGACUCAGUGAAAUUGAACUCGCUGUGAAGAUGCAGUGUACCCGCGGCAAGACGGAAAGACCCCGUGAACCUUUACUAUAGCUUGACACUGAACAUUGAGCCUUGAUGUGUAGGAUAGGUGGGAGGCUUUGAAGUGUGGACGCCAGUCUGCAUGGAGCCAACCUUGAAAUACCACCCUUUAAUGUUUGAUGUUCUAACGUUGCCCCGUGAACCGGGGUGCGGACAGUGUCUGGUGGGUAGUUUGACUGGGGCGGUCUCCUCCCAAAGCGUAACGGAGGAGCACGAAGGUUGGCUAAGCAUGGUCGGACAUCAUGCGGUUAGUGCAAAGGCAUAAGCCAGCUUGACUGCGAGAGUGACGGCUCGAGCAGGUACGAAAGUAGGUCUUAGUGAUCCGGUGGUUCUGAAUGGAAGGGCCAUCGCUCAACGGAUAAAAGGUACUCCGGGGAUAACAGGCUGAUACCGCCCAAGAGUUCAUAUCGACGGCGGUGUUUGGCACCUCGAUGUCGGCUCAUCACAUCCUGGGGCUGAAGUAGGUCCCAAGGGUAUGGCUGUUCGCCAUUUAAAGUGGUACGCGAGCUGGGUUUAGAACGUCGUGAGACAGUUCGGUCCCUAUCUGCCGUGGGCGUUGGAAGAUUGAAAGGGGCUGCUCCUAGUACGAGAGGACCGGAGUGGACGCACCGCUGGUGUUCGGGUUGUCAUGCCAAUGGCACUGCCCGGUAGCUAAGUGCGGAAGAGAUAACCGCUGAAAGCAUCUAAGCGGGAAACUUGCCUUGAGAUGAGUCUUCCCUGACUCUUUAAGGGUCCUAAAGGAACGUUUAAGACGAAGACGUUGAUAGGCUGGGUGUGUAAGCGUAGCGAUACGUUGAGCUAACCAGUACUAAUGAACCGUGAGGCUUAACCUGACAACACCGAAGGUGUUUUAG
rnacentral:rRNA from 1 species